rnacentral:rRNA from 1 species
UACGUAGGGUGCAAGCGUUGUCCGGAAUUAUUGGGCGUAAAGAGCUCGUAGGCGGUUCGUCGCGUCGGCUGUGAAAACCUGAGGCUCAACCUCAGGCCUGCAGUUGAUACGGGCGGACUUGAGUACUGCAGGGGAGACUGGAAUUCCUGAUGUAGCGGUGAAAUGCGCAGAUAUCAGGAGGAACACCGGUGGCGAAGGCGGGUCUCUGGGCAGUAACUGACGCUGAGGAGCGAAAGCGUGGGGAGCGAACAGG